GGCCCACACACGGCACCAAAGGCACACACUUCUGCCACUUGAGCUCAAGCUACCUUUACUAGAAAUGCAAGUAAGAAGCAGGUUGGGACAGUGAGCGGGAGGCACAGUAGGACGGAGCUACGAUCCUAUAGACACACUGCCCAGGGCUUGCGUUGGCUCCUGCCACCCAAAUCAGCCCCCGUCCUGUGGCUGAUUAUGCAGAAAGCACUGCUUUACAUAGUAUGUACUUAUAUAGGGUGCGUACAGUGAAUCUGGUUGGGUUCCUUUCCUAGCAAAUCAGUAUUUUAGGAAAUAGCUGGUGGGUUUCGGGGUCUUAGCUCAAGGCAACCUAGAAGAAAGCCCAGUUGUCAAGCCUGCCAGAUCAGGCCCAGAAACCAGGAAACACCAGAGUAACCAAGUCUUAAAGACACAUCUGGACAAACAGCUGGGACUGCCGUGUCC
rnacentral:lncRNA from 1 species